rnacentral:misc_RNA from 1 species
UGCAGGAUCAACCAGGUAGCAUUCCUCAGGGACAUCGAGCCGCAAGACGUAAAACAUCUACGCGGCGUCGAACGUCAAUCGAUUGGGGCGUGUAAUGCCAAUUUGUGGGCAAAUAGAGAGGUCGAAGACCCCUUACCCGUAGUGUUUUCCGCAUCCCCGAAGUCAAGCUACGGUCGUGGCCCGCGAAUGCAUAGCGUUUUGUAUGCAAAUCGAAACACGAAUUUCGCUUCGAGGUUCACCCGAAGCCGCACCGCGUAAACGGGCAGCGAUAGGAGAACUUGGUAAGGAUUGGCCCCGGAAUUCCAUCGACGUAGGUAUGCAGCACAGGAAACCAAAAACUCGGCCAAGGCAUACGAAGCUCUUGUGCCGACAACUGAAGAGGAGAGCACGAAAGGACGUCGCUACCAGAAGAGGGAUCCAA